UCUGCAAAUGUACGACAUAUAAUUAAAAAAAAAAGCCAGUCGGUGCAGGGUGGCGAAGAACAUGAUGUUUCAGAAUAUUCUCACAAAUCAAGCAGGAUGAAGAGCAAUGAAAGAGCAUGGAAAGCGAACGAUUUUUCGCUGCAAGAUGUGCUAAGAUGAAAGAAAAUUGAAAAAUCGGCGAGGUAUGUUAUUAGAGGCGGAGUGUCAAGGUAGCGAAAAUUUGAAAUUUGAAAACUGAAAAAUAUUAAGGACCCGCGAGAGAUGUCGAUUGGCAGAGGCGAGCUUGCAGACUGGCUGAAAGCUUUGAGAGAUUUCGUGGAUCACUAUAUUCCCCACCUUCUAUAUUUUCCCUCUCCUACCACGGAAAAUCGGUGAACAUGAAGAAAAGGAGAGAGAGAGAGAAAGAGAGAGAAGAGGAGUAGAUGGUCGAAUAGUGGUAGAUGGUGGAUGGUGGAAUGGAAGUUAUUUUGGUAACUUAGGGAGCCAAGAAUGGGCAGGGAUAGUUUUAACGGCACUGUUUUCUCAUUCUGUAGUGAUUUUAAUAGUGGUAGGAGAUCUGACGAUUGCGCUGACGCGUCAGAGAAGAUAUAAGAGACAAAUUUCCUGAUAUACACCGUACCUUAAAUUCGGAGAGAGAAGCCAUUAAAUCGUCAAGCUCCUUGGUAGCGUUGCUGGCGGUGUGACCAUUGGUAUAACUCUUCUGGGCCUCGCUGCGAUUCAACGAUCCGUGCUGUCUAGGAGGAUAACCAUCGUACACGGGUUGCACUUCCGUGGACGUUUCUUGAAUGGUAACUUUCACUCUACCAUCGGCAGGAUAAUCCCUGACGAAGAAGAUCGCGUUAAAAUCAACUCCGAAGUACCGUGUUCAAAUUGCAAACUUCCCAACUUUAUCUUUUCCUCCUCCUUCUCGUUCGUUCGUGAUUUUUCCAAGAAUAAAAGAGUAACGCUUACCCGUUCGGUACCGCGGUGCUCAAUUCUUCGAGCAACGAAUCGACGGUGGGCCUUGAAGCUGACAUGCUACUCGGAGAACGAAGCAUCGGACUAGAAUCACCAUUCAUUCCUCCCGAGGAAACGCGAUUCUCUACGGUCAUCGAUAUUUCGAUCAUCGUCGUUGCACAGUUUUCGUCAAAUUCUAAUUUAGCGUAUCUGAUCGAAACUGAUGUAAACGAAAGACAUGAAAAUAGGAUGCUGACCUCUUUCCUGAUAGUGAGCAUUGUAACGAGCGUUGCUCAGAUCUUGCAACAACGUGUCCAACUCCGACAGAUUGUUGUUGAGGGAAGGCAUCUUCCCUCCGCCGCUGCCUUUCGCGAUGCUCUCCUCGAUGGCCUCGCGGUUCUGAUAAGUCGGCUGUAACAGCAGUUCGUCGUUCGCUAUCGAUCCUUUUCAACUUUAUUUAUCAUCGAUAUUUAACUCAUCCAAUUUUUACACCUAAUAUGUCCAUUUCUCGACAGAUCUUUCCAGGAUUAUCGCGGAAUAGCAAUUUCUCGUUGGUUGUAAUAUUCGUUUGUUCGAUUGGUCUGAAUAUUUGCGUUAACAGGCGAAUGAGAAUCGACUAGGAGAGUCGUGUCAAGUGCGUGUGCGUACGUUUGUUCGUUACUCGGGGGAAGAACGAGGGAAAAAAGUGUCGCGGACAAGAGACAGAUGCCAAGUAGCCGCAAAAGCGGUAUUAUUUCAAAACAUGAUGUCAUUAGAUGCUGCGCGGAAUUUGUAAAUACAUUAUCAAUUAGGUGGUCGCGCGGAGGACAAGGCGUCAUGCACUUUUAAUAGAAACCUGCCCGCCAAACCGACCAACAUUACUCGUUUGUUGCAAAAUCCUCGAGCAAGAGAGAGGCACCGCGAAUUUGUUCCGGCGAUUCAACGAGCAACGACCAGAACCGAAUCAACUUUGCUCCAACUUGAUCUUCGGCCGAUUAAAUCGCUGAUAAUUAAUCAACUACGUAGGAAGACACGUUUAUCAGAUAACGUUCCGUUAAGAUCGUCUGAUACGUCUCAUUAUUCAGAUCUAAUAUAUUCUUUCGUCUUUCGUCAUCGUCAUGAAGUGAUACGGAACGAUACAUCCUGAUGGUGGAAACUAGGUUGCUCAGUGAGUUGUCGUUCCAAAAAUAUCCAUAGCGAACCACCGACGGAAAGAAAAUGUCGCAUUACAUCCGACAAUCCUGCAGAACCCUGGUCGAAGUUUCUUCCACUGAUCCCUCGAACGUGGAAUCGUAGCCUGCGAAACGCUUUGCUCGUCAAGGCUGGUCGAUCAAAAAAUAAACACGGGCCUAUAAACCGCCGCGAUCUACAAUGACACAGGGAACUUCAUAAAUCACCGAUUCACCAAACUUGCGAAAAUAGGCCGAACGCAAACUUUCCUGUGGAGAUUUCCUCCGUGCUUCCCAACUUCGUCUAAUAUUCAUCCGGUAGAAGACGAAGAGGACGUGUCUUAAGAGAGAAGUUGAUAGCAGCAAAUGGAACAUGACGAUUUUCAUAGGUGCAAUAAAAUCUAUUUAUAAGACGAAGCUCCAGGAAUGUUCGAAAAGAUAUCCGCUAUAUUCACGGCAAUUUCGAGCAAGCCUCUAGCGGGGUUUCUGAGUACUGAAUAUCCUUGUUUAGUAGUGAAAAAAUUGUUUCUUCGAUCGAAUGGUAAAACACGCUAGGUGAAACAGAAACCGUGUGACGUAUCUAUCUAUGCACAGCCGUUAUGCCUCGGUCUUUUCUCAUGCGCUUGCAUACGACGGGAAAGAAGAAGACCAGUGAUUGUACAAUGACACCGACGAUCGAUAAAAUAUACGAAGGCUCAGCGAAAAAGUGUAUGGAGAAUGUUGCCCUGAAUGUCUAAAGUUUUAUGAAUACGUGUAGUAAUUUGUUUUAAUGUUUGAAGAGAACUAUGAAGUUGAAUUUCUUUCUUUUUUUCUUUAAAUUCAACUUUUAUCUGAAAAAAUUGUGGAUAAAGUUGAUAAAGCUAAUAUAAAAAACUUAUAGUUAAGUAAAUAUUACCGACGGUAUUUUUCUAUCGAAGAUGGAUUUUAUCUAGAAUUAGCUCAAUUUAAAGUUGAAUAGCAAUGAAGAUAAUCUAUGUAUAAAUGAACAUUAAAACGAGCUUUGAAAAUUC